CAGGGAACACUGAGUGCUAGCAUUUAUGUUAGCUGUCCACAUGUGUAAAUAGCAUGUGAUAGCAAGGGCUGGGCAAGACCGGUGCCAGCCGUCGCGGUAACACCGGCAGCCCGAGUGGUGAUCACUAUUAUUGGGUCUACAGGGUCCGUAGCCGGUUUAAUCAGUCUUCUGGGAAAUCUAAUCGCUUAACUAUUAGGCUUCCAGGGGAUACUGUUAGACUUGGGACCGGGAGAGGU
rnacentral:rRNA from 1 species